UGAACGCAUGACUGUAAAUUGCUUUGGAGAAAAGCAUCUGCUGAAUGCCUUAUA
rfam:Salmo salar isolate Sally breed double haploid chromosome ssa13, whole genome shotgun sequence.